CCAAGAGACCCAUAAUUAUGGAUCUUUCUCAGAACUGGACUCCAAGUUGGUACCAGGUUCAAAGGAGGAAGUAGACUGAUCCAUGCCCUUGAAAGAAUCGCUGUCAGGCCCCUCCCGCGCCCAGCUCCGAGUACGGGAGCCGCUGCCGCCAAGUCCGGACCCAACACCGCGCGCCGCCGACGCCCGCCUGCUCGACGUGCACUCCCGGUACGGUCGGGCCCCGAGCGCACUGCGCGGGAGGGUCAGGAGAGCGAGCUGCCUCCGGCUCGCUAGCUCGGCGCUGUCCCCGAAGGGGUCUCUGCUCCCGGGGAGUCGGGGGGAGGCAGGAUCCGCACGUGGACUCGGAGGUCACCGCACUCUGCUUUUGCUCUAAGUGGGCACCAUGGCCUGUGGUCCGGCUGGGGAACCGAGGUGGCCGCAGCUAUCCUGUGGCUGAAAGCCCGGGUGGAUGCAGAAAGACAAGGAAAUGACAGAUCUAAAGGGUGGGGCAUACCUCCGGGUUUAAAAUAGGCAAACAACGCAGAACUGGAGGUCGGGUUUCCAGAGCCCACCCAGCCUAAAAACCCUCAGCAGUCGCGGGUGAGGGAUAGAGGGAGGGGGUCGAAAACCGCGGAGCGCUGCUUGGGUCGCUUUUUAACCCUGGGACUCUUCAAGAGGUGGACUCCAUGGGGCGGCUACUGCCUGCGGAUUAUAGGGCGCUCUUUGCGCAAAUUACACUUAUUAAGCAGCUGCUGAUGUAUCGGGUGCUACGCAAGGCACGGUGCAUGCAAAGAUGAAGCAGGAAGAGUCUCAGCCCUCCUGCCGAUGGUCUUUUGAGAGCAGGCUAUCUGGUACCGUCCCCUCGUCUUGAGAAAUGGGGGAACCUAAAGCUGGGAGAGGGUUAGGGCAUCUCUGAGGUCACAGAGUGGGUGGCAGAGUUGGGGGAGUAGACCCACUUUCUGCAGUGCUCGUCCCUCACCCGUGCCCCCACGUUGAAGGGAGCGCUGGAUCCCAGGGUUUAGAUUCUGGUGAGGCCAGGUCUAGAAAUAGCAGUGAUUUACACGGAGAGAUCUGAUUCCACCUUAGUGACUCUGGGCUGCCUGCCUGGAAGUCCUCUCGGAUAUUUUUGCCCUUUGGGGUGGUGUCAAGACCAGACGUGGUGCUUCAGGAUGCAACCUGUGAUAAUCUUUCCAGUGAAUGCAGUGCAGGGUUGGAUUAGCAGGGCGAAGGCCCCCUCCCCGACACUGGGAAUGGAGGAUUCCACCAAGUAUCUAUUAACUUUAGGGCUCCAGGCCUCUGCAGCUAUUUUUGCACUUCCUGUACUGACAAAAUUUCCUCAUAUCGGGCCUCACGCCUUUGCAACAUGGAUCACGGCAGAAACCACACGAGGCGCCUCCCUCCCUGUUGGUUAACAGCUCCUUGGGUCUAGUAUUCCGAUUUAAAGUCUGGCUCUGCCCGCGGCCAGGGAGGCUGCCAGCUGGGGCACUAGUUAAGUCUAAAGUCCACCUCGGGGCUCUCUGCCUCGUGGCUCUCUCCCUUGUACCCUAAGAGCAGGACAGUUCCCAAUUAUUUCCGCUCUUGGGCGGGGCUUUCCAGACUGGCGCCUCUGCGCCAGCACCCAGCUCUCGAAAGCCGCGGUCUGUAGGCUCUACUCUUGUCCCCGCCCAGCGCUCGAAAUGAGCAUGCGCGCAAGUGUCGCGCCGGGCUGGGUG
rnacentral:lncRNA from 1 species